rnacentral:rRNA from 1 species
UACGUAGGGGGCAAGCGUUGUCCGGAUUUACUGGGUGUAAAGGGUGCUCAGGCGGGUUUGUAAGUCAGUGGUGAAAUCCCGGGGCUCAACUCCGGAACUGCCAUAGAUACUGCGAGCCUAGAGUACGGAAGAGGUUGAUGGAAUAUCUGGUGUAGCAGUGAAAUGCGUAGAUAUCAGAUAGAACACCAAUGGCGAAGGCAGUCAACUGGUCCGUUACUGACGCUAAAGCACGAAAGUGUGGGGAG